AGCCCAAAUGGACCUAAAGCGCAUCACUCGUAAUGAGAAGGUCUGGGGUUCGAUUCCCCAAAGCG
rnacentral:tRNA from 1 species